GACGAACGCUGGCGGCGUGCUUAACACAUGCAAGUCGAACGGAAAGGCCCUGCUUUUGUGGGGUGCUCGAGUGGCGAACGGGUGAGUAACACGUGAGUAACCUGCCCUUGACUUUGGGAUAACUUCAGGAAACUGGGGCUAAUACCGGAUAGGAGCUCCUGCUGCAUGGUGGGGGUUGGAAAGUUUCGGCGGUUGGGGAUGGACUCGCGGCUGAUCAGCUUGUUGGUGGGGUAGUGGCUUACCAAGGCUUUGACGGGUAGCCGGCCUGAGAGGGUGACCGGCCACAUUGGGCCUGAGAUACGGCCCAGACUCCUACGGGAGGCAGCAGUGGGGAAUAUUGCACAAUGGGCGGAAGCCUGAUGCAGCAACGCCGCGUGCGGGAUGACGGCCUUCGGGUUGUAAACCGCUUUCGCCUGUGACGAAGCGUGAGUGACGGUAAUGGGUAAAGAAGCACCGGCUAACUACGUG
rnacentral:rRNA from 1 species